rnacentral:rRNA from 1 species
CUGCUUUGAUGAAGUUUUCGGAUGGAUUUAAACAGCUUAGUGGCGGACGGGUGAGUAACGCGUGGGUAACCUGCCUCACACUGGGGGACAACAGUUGGAAACGACUGCUAAUACCGCAUAAGCGCACAGGAUCGCAUGAUCCGGUGUGAAAAACUCCGGUGGUAUGGGAUGGACCCGCGUCUGAUUAGGUAGUUGGUGGGGUAACGGCCUACCAAGCCGACGAUCAGUAGCCGACCUGAGAGGGUGACCGGCCACAUUGGGACUGAGACACGGCCCAAACUCC